AAAAAAUUUUGCAAUAUAAAAAUGGAACAGCGAAUAAAUGAAACAAACCAACGAACUGACUGGAACGAAAAGGUAGAAGGAGAUAGAAAGUGCGAGCAUCGGCAAAGACGACUAGCGUCUGACUAUUGGAGCAUGGUUAAAAUUCCGCGACACCAUUGCCACACCAUAAUAUCAGCGCGCCCAACAACUUGGAUCGGCAUUCGAUUGUUUGUGCGAGUAUAGUAUGCCGGUCUAACCGUCUGCCAUCGAAGGUUCGUCUGUUUGCAGUCAUACAGUGAAGUGAAAUAUAAGCAAGUUAAAUAAAAACGCAGAUGCAGAAACGAACGAACUCUUCAAAAAGUCUGUAUCCCAUUACAUACAAAUAUAUAUGCACACACAGGCAUACAUACGUACUACAUAAGGCAUAUACAUAUGUAUGUAAAAAAGUGUGUGUGUAAAAAACUGUGGCGAUGCUGGAAGCAAGACUUACUACCACCACACCUUAUCAAAUGGUCAAAGGACGAAUGGGAGUAUUGAUUAAUUGGAAAACACGAACACCAAUGGAAUUUUAAUUAUGUUAGCUGUUGCUAAGUGACUUCAAAAUAUAUGUAUAAUAUAGUUUAGAAUACAAAUAAUGCUUCAGAAAUUCUAGGAAGCAUGCCGGUCUUAUUAGAAAAUCAUCUCACGGUAAAACAAAGGCACUGCAAAAGAUAUCCUCCAAAAUAGAUUUUUUCCUAUUAAGCAAUUAUCCCAUAUACACAAAAAAUCAAUAUAAACUCUAAUGUUAAAAAUAGCCUUACAUCAGAAAUAACUAUUUAAAACAUGGAUAUUAGCUUUGAACAGCCAGAAAACCCUUGGGCAGCAGUAAAAUAAAUGUGAAAAAUCAAAGAGCACCAUACUACGUAAACAUUUGUACCUUGUUUUUUGACUCUAGAAACGACAACAAAGUUUCGCAGAUAUCUUGAAAAUAUGUAGAUUUUUAAUAAGUUCCCAACGAGUUAAGUAUUAUAAUUACCAAAUUUGUUUGAAAAGUUAACGACUUUCUACAAAUGUAGGUUUAUGACACUACGUAGCUAUUCGAUACUUAAGACGAGUUCUUGAGAGGCUCUUACACAUCAUCUUGGCGUUUAUGUAUGCAUAGUACAUUUUAUAAAUUUUUUUCUCGCAGAUCAAAACGACUGUCAGCUUUUUCGGAAAUUUCAUUGCAUAUCGAUUUUAGAGACUUUCGUAUUUCAUUUACUUAUUCAGUAAGCAGUCGAUUGUUGGAUACUUUGUUCAUAGCGGUCCACCACACCAGUGCAUUGUAAAGUAAAAUUAGCUUGACUAGCUCUGUGUAACAACAAUGCUUGAGGCGAGGUGAUAUCCCCUAAGUGGACCCGAGCUCUUCAGAUUGUGCUUCCACAUCAGCUUGAUCUCAAAUUUCGUCCCAGCUACUAAGUAUUCUCCAUUAUUGUUGAUUGAUUAUAGCAUAGAACUGCCAAAUAAACUGAACGAUCAAAAGAAAGUA